CUGCAUCCAGGGGCUUUGGGGGGUGGUGACCACUUGAUGUCCUGGAAGAUGCUUGGACUUGGACUCUCCAGGAGCUGUGCUCACCAAGGGCUAAGAAGGCCGCGGGGACAGAGCCCACACCAACCUGCGCUUGCCUGUCUGUUCUCUGAUACCAGUACUUUCCCCUCCCUCCCUCCUCCUUCCUUCCCUCCCUGCUUGUACUGAUUGGAUUUUCCCUACCCUCACCCUCGUCUUCCUUUCAUUCUCCUCCUUUUUCUUUCUCUUAUCUUCCUCUCUCCCAGCCAACAGGUAUUCACGAAGCCGCUACAGGGAUUGAAAUGGAAAUGCGCUGAAAUAAAACAAAGAAAAUUCCUCAUUUGCACAAGCCACAUUUCAAAUGAUGGAUAGGCUCAUGUGGCUGGUGACUACUGCGAUGGACGGUGCGGAAAGUUCUAUGGGACGGCUGCUGUGGCCUAGCCCCUCUCUGCUACGCCUGCGCUGAUGGGCUUGGAGGGAGGAGGAGGAGAAGCCAAGGAAGAGAGAAGCGACUCCCCAGGAUGCCCAGGGUCAGUGGAAACUUCUCAGCCGCUGAUCCUAAGGCACUGCCUGGGGUGAGGACCUGGAGGUGCAUGACCUUCAAGAUCAGACACAUCUGCAUUUGAACAGAUGUGGUCUCCCUUGCUUGAGUCCAUGGCUUCUGGAUGCAGACUUGCUGUCCUCCGUGGCUUGGAAUCCAAUUUCUCUACCUCUGCAAAGACAAAGCGCUGAGUCAGCUCCCCAGAGAUUCACUCUCGAGGUUCCAAGGAGUCUGGGGGCCUCUGUGCUGACACUCGGGCUGCUAAUGGACUCGGAAUGGAUUCGGGCCUGAUGAUGCAGCCCUGAAAGAUGGAGUUCACUGGCAGAGCCAUGGUGGUGUUUGGUUUGGUUUGGUUUGAUUUUACAGUAAUUUCCACAAAAUAGGUUUCCUUUUAAUCAGGGUUUGCUUGUCUGCAUUUCUGGCUUCUGGUUCCUUCCUCCCUGGCCCUACAAAGGCCUCAGGGAGAUUAUUAGUUAGAUGCCUCUGGUUGAGAGACAGAAAGGGACCGAGGAGGUGUCUCGGACCCCCUUCGCAUUGUUCUGGGUUGUUUGGAAGGCAUGAAGCCCCAGAGGAAAGCCCACUGCACAAGGCUUUCAGAUGCUCCUGGCGCUGCAGAUGCAGACCUGUUAUGUACAGGGAAGCCAGAGGUGGAAAGAGCAUGAGCACUUUGGGCCAGAUUUGGGAGGCCCAGAGAGGUUAAUCGACCUGCCUGAAGUCACAUAACUGGUCAAGUGAACUGGGCUAGACUCUCCUUCCCAGGAUCCUUGGCACACUUGACCCUUAGUCAAUCAAUCUGUCAUUGCCCACCCACUGCUUGUGAAACACUGUGGACUCACACAUCAUGUGUUUCAUUGUAUUAGCUACUGUUCCUGGCAGACACGCUUUGUUUGCAUGUGGCAAUUGCCUUUCCAGCCAGACUGUCAGUACAGGGUAAUGAGAGAAGAUCUGGCCUCCCAUGACCUUGGUUGUGCUGCUUCCCUCCACAAGCCAGCUUCCUCUUCUAAAAGCAAAUGGUAGUAAGGGCACCAUCUUUAGAAUGUUGCUGGAAGGCAACAGGGAGAUGCCGUGUUGGUGCUCAACAAACUCCUUACUCUCAAUAGUUCUCUUAAGUCACCACUUGCCGUAAGUUCUACAGGGACCCCUGGGCUAGACCUCAAGUUCUCAGAGUGUGGUCCCUGGACCGGCAGUCACAGCAUCAUCUGAGAACUUGCUGACAUGCAAAUUCGCAGCCCCGUCUUGGACCCACUGGAUCAGAAAUUCUGAGGGUGAGACACAAAGAUCUGUGUUCUACAAGCCCUCCAGGCAAUUCUCUUACCCCUGAAAUUUGAGACCCUCUGGGCUAGACAUACCUUUUCUUUUUUUUAAAAUUAGUUAAUUAAUUAAUUAAUUAAUUUUAAAGAUUUUAUUUAUUCUUGACACGAAGAGACAGGGGGAGAGAGAGAGAGA